UACGGGGGGAGCAAGCGGUGUUCGGAUUUACUGGGCGUAAAGGGCGCGUAGGCGGUAGCACAAGUCAGUUGUGAAAUCUCCGGGCUUAACUCGGAAAGGUCAACUGAUACUGUGCGACUAGAGUGCAGAAGGGGCAACUGGAAUUCUCGGUGUAGCGGUGAAAUGCGUAGAUAUCAGGAGGAACACCGAUGGCGAAGGCAGGUCUCUGGGCAUUAACUGACGCUGAGGAGCGAAAGCAUGGGGAGCGAACAGG
rnacentral:rRNA from 1 species